UUUUAAAUGGUAUUGAAAGUUUGUACUUUAAAGGCAAACUCUUAUCUAACUUUGAAAGGGAAGAAGAAGUGCCUCAGAAGAGUUGCAGUAUGAGCAUAAACCAGCAUUGCCAAUUAUUUGUUCCUGCCUCUUCUGGAGCAGGAUAGAGCUGCCCUCUUUCUAGUUUAUGUUCUCAUAUCUUCAGUAGCUCAAGUAGCACAGAUCCACACUUGGCACUAAAAUUUUGCAAUCCCUUCCUCAAAAUGCUCUUCAGGACUGUAUCUUUAAACAGGACAGAAACAGGACAAAGCUCAAGUACAAAAGGGGAAAAAAAAAAAAGGAAAGCACCUGAAGUUGAUUACUCUUAAAAGUGAAGGACAUCUCUUGGCUUAAUAUUUUUGUAUGAUCAGGAGUGAAACAUUAGGGAUGAACAAGAAAGGUAGCAUUCUUUAUCAUUCUCUUCAUCUGAAUCUAAAUUCAGCUGGUAAGACAUACCAGUUCAGGGCUCUGUAUGCCCUGGCACCUGGUACAGGAAGUCUGUCCCAACAACAGUUAUGCAGUCAAAUGCAAUGUCUUUUUGAUUCUUAAAAGACUCUAAGAAGAACUUUAAACUCUACCCAGAAAUCAACAGGCAGGUCCUGGAGCUGCAGUGCCAAAAGCAUUGCAGAGAUGCCCUUCUGUCAAGUAAGCCCUUACCGUGUUUCCGGUAUCAAAUUAAAAAUUAAUUUUUUUAAAGUGUAGUAGAAAAGGGCCAAGUUAAAAAAAGAGGUUAGUCAGUCAAAAAGCUGCCUGAAUUACUUCUGAAACAUGCUCUCCAGAUGGCUGGGAUAAUUUUGACUGUUAAGGUUUUCAUUUGACUAGAGAUCCAACAGCAGGCUCACUGUCUUCAAGGACUAAUAUUGCCUCUGGCUGCUUCUCAAUACCAACCAGCAACCCAAAUUUUUCUGGGCUAAACUUUAAUCUGUCAAGUAUGAGCUUGGCACCAUCUGGGACACCAUCAGCUAAAGGGGCAGGCAAGUCCCACUGUCCUCACUUCCUGCAAACUGAAAGAAAACUAUUGAGUUCUUCAACAUCCCAAAAGCGACCACAAAACCUCUGAGAUCUGGGACUCUGUUACAGCAAAUACCUAAUGGAUUUCCAGUCCUGUGUCACAAAGAAUCUCCUGGUGACACACAGCUCUGCUUUGAGGCCGGUUCAUUCCCACAUGCUGAGUAUCCAACUGAAGACAAUACAGUUCCUCUCACUGAAAUAACUUCAACAGAUGCAUGCAUUUCUACAAGUAAAACUGUAUUAUUUAAAUAA